rnacentral:rRNA from 1 species
CUCCUAGAUGUUCUGGGCCGCACGCGCGCUACACUGAACAGUUCAACAAGUCUUAACCUUGGCCGAUAGGUCUGGGUAAUCUUUGAACGCUGUUCGUGAUUGGGAUAGACCUUUGCAAUUAUGGGUCUUCAACGAGGAAUUCCUAGUAAACGCAAGUCAUCAGCUUGCAUUGAUUACGUCCCUGCCCUUUGUACACACCGCCCGUCGCACCUACCGAUUGAAUGGUCCGGUGAAAUCUCGGGACGGCGGCUUGGUCGCUUGCGUCCGACUGCUGAAACUUGAUUAAACCAUAUCAUUUAGAGGAAGGUGAAGUCGUAACA